UACGGGGGGGGCAAGCGUUGUUCGGAAUUACUGGGCGUAAAGAGCGCGUAGGCGGUCCGAUAAGUCGGCUGUGAAAGUCAGGGGCUCAACCCUUGAAAGCCGGCCGAUACUGUCGGACUAGAGUCCGGAAGAGGCAAGUGGAAUUCCCGGUGUAGCGGUGAAAUGCGCAGAUAUCGGGAGGAACACCAGUGGCGAAGGCGGCUUCCUGGACACCAACUGACGCUGAGACGCGAAAGCGUGGGGAGCAAACAGG
rnacentral:rRNA from 1 species